rnacentral:tRNA from 1 species
GGAGCUGUGGCUCAAUGACAAAAGCAUUUGCUCAGCACGCAGAAGGUUCCUGGUUCAAUUCCUGGCAUCUCCA